rnacentral:tRNA from 1 species
GCCUUCGUGGUGUAGUGGUCUGCAAUGCUCGACGCGUAACCGAGAGGUCCGUGGUUCGAUUCCCGGCGAAGGCG